rnacentral:rRNA from 1 species
CCUACGGGAGGCAGCAGUCGAGAAUCAUUCACAAUGGGGGAAACCCUGAUGGUGCGACGCCGCGUGGGGGAAUGAAGGUCUUCGGAUUGUAAACCCCUGUCAUGUGGGAGCAAAUUAAAAAGAUAGUACCACAAGAGGAAGAGACGGCUAACUCUGGGCAAGCAGCCUCGGUAAUACAGAGGUCGCAAGCGUUGUUGGGAAUUACUGGGCGUAAAGCGUGCGUAGGCGGUUUCGUAAGUCGGGUGUGAAAGGCCCGGGCUCAACCCGCGGCCGGCAUAUGAGACUGGGAGACUCGAGUGAAGGAGGGGGGAGCGGAAUUCCAGGUGUAGCAGUGAAAUGCGUAGAUAUCGGGAGGAACACUAGUGGCGAAGGCGGGUUUCUGGACUGUAACUGACGCUGAGGCACGAAAGCCAGGGGAGCGAAAGGGAUUAGAUACCCCAGUAGUC